rnacentral:miRNA from 1 species
GGUGUGGCCUUGUUGGAGGCAGUGUGUCACUGGAGAUGGGCUUUGAGGUUUCAGAUACUCAAGCCAGGUCCAGUGGCUCCCUCUUUCCCUGCUGCCUGCUGAUGC